rnacentral:rRNA from 1 species
GUCCACGCCGUAAACGAUGGAUGCUAGAUGUUGGGGGUAUUGACCCCUCCGGCGUCGCAGCUAACGCAUUAAGCAUCCCGCCUGGGGAGUACGGCCGCAAGGCUAAAACUCAAAGGAAUUGACGGGGGCCCGCACAAGCGGUGGAGCAUGUGGUUUAAUUCGACGCAACGCGAAGAACCUUACCUGGGUUAAAUCCGCCGGAACCUGCCAGAGAUGGUGGAGUGCCCUUCGGGGAACCGGCGAGAAGGUGCUGCAUGGCUGUCGU